rnacentral:rRNA from 1 species
GAUGAACGCUGGCGGCGUGCCUAAUACAUGCAAGUCGAGCGAACAGAUAAGGAGCUUGCUCCUUUGACGUUAGCGGCGGACGGGUGAGUUACACGUGGAUAACCUACCUAUAAGACUGGGAUAACUUCGGGAAACCGUAGCUAAUACCGGAUAACAUAUUGAACCGCAUGGUUCAAUAGUGAAAGGCGGCUUUGCUGUCACUUAUAGAUGGAUCCGCGCCGUAUUAGCUAGUUGGUAAGGUAACGGCUUACCAAGGCAACGAUACGUAGCCGACCUGAGAGGGUGAUAGGCCACACUGGAACUGAGACACGGUCCAGACUCCUAAGGGAGGCAGCAGUAGGGAAUCUUCCGCAAAGGGCGAAAGCCUGACGGAGCAACGCUGCGUGAGUGAUGAAGGUCUUCGGAUCGUAAAACUCUGUUAUCAGGGAAGAACAAAUGUGUAAGUAACUGUGCACAUCUUGACGGUACCUGAUCAGAAAGCCACGGCUAACUACGUG